GAUAGCGUCCAUAGACCAGCGGCAAAUCCCGUUCCCAUUCCGAACACGGAAGAUAAUCACUGGUGCGUCUCAUGAGUAGUCAGUAAAAUGGCAAAAAUGAGUUGAUGCUAUCA
rnacentral:rRNA from 1 species